rnacentral:rRNA from 1 species
CCCUUAGAUGUCCUGGGCCGCACGCGCGUUACACUGAUGCAUUCAACGAGCUUAUAACCUUGGCCGAGAGGCCUGGGCAAUCUUUUGAACUUGCAUCGUGAUAGGGAUAGAUUAUUGCAAUUAUUAAUCUUGAACGAGGAAUUCCUAGUAAACGCAGAUCAUCAAUCUGCAUUGAUUACGUCCCUGCCCUUUGUACACACCGCCCGUCGCACCUACCGAUUGAAUGGUCCGGUGAAGCCUCGGGAUUGUGGUUAGUUUCCUUCAUUGGAAGUUAGCCGCGAGAACUUGUCUAAACCUUAUCAUUUAGAGGAAGGUGAAGUCGUAACA